rnacentral:rRNA from 1 species
AUUGAACGCUGGCGGCAGGCCUAACACAUGCAAGUCGAGCGCGCGUCGGACGGGUGAGUACUGUAUUGGGGCUGCCCGAUAGAGGGGGGUAACCACUGGAAACGGUGGAUCAUACCGCAUACUCUCUGAUUACCCAUAUGGGAUUGGCUCUUAGGUAAGGUAAUGGCUUACCUAGGCGACGAUCCCUAGCUGGGCUGAGAGGAUGAUCAGCCACACUGGGACUGAGAAACGGCCCAGACUCCUACGGAGGCAGCAGUGGGGAAUAUUGCACAAUGGGCGCAAGCCUGAUGCAGCCAUGCCGCGUGUAUGAAGAAGGCCUUAGGGUUGUAAAGUACUUUCAGUAGGGAGGCGUUACCGACAGAAGAAGCACCGGCUAACUCCGUGCCAGCAGCCGCGGUAAUAC